rnacentral:lncRNA from 1 species
GGCGGUGGGGGGGGUGCGGGGCUGAUCCCUCAGCAGGUGCCAGGUUACCUUAGGUUCCCGGUGCAGACAGGUGACCUGGAGCAGGCCACCGUCAGUGUCAGUCUGGGUCUCCACGUACGAAUCAGUGCCCUGGCCAUGGUUUCACCCUUGGACACCCCGGGAAGCUAUUCCCUGCAAAUUGUUUCUCUGACUUCCUGUUCCCAGCUCUUUUCCCUCCCACUUGCUAUUUUUUAAGACAAAAAUGAAACAGUGGGAAAGCCCCAGCCAUCUGGGGUUUCUCAGGACCCCUUUGCCUUCUGUCUGACCUCCCGCUCCUGGGCUGGGGGCCACGGGGCAGCUUCAGCAGAU